GCAGGCGCAGCUGCUGCGGCUCCUGAAAUCCUCGGGUGUGAAGUUCUCCCAGGGCUGUUGAUGCUUCAUCUACUCUUCUGGCAGUGGGGGCCUGGACCUUAGUUACCCGGGGAGCGUGAGUCAUGUUGCACAGUUGAGCUGGCACAUAAAACUACGAGUCACACCAGAAGAGGGCAUUGGAUCCCACUAUAGACUGUUGUGAGCCACCUUGUGGUUGCUGGGAAUUGAACUCAGGACCUCUGGAAGAGCAGUUGGUGCUCUUAACUGCUGAGUCAUCUCUCCAGCCCCAGAACAAGGAAUUGAAGCUUGGAGAAGAUUGAUGGACCACUCAAGUUCCCUGGAUGGUCCAGGAUGCAGACUGAGGAUGGCCUAAAACAUUAGUUUUGCUGGCUCCCUGUGCUUGGCUAACUUUAGAGCCUCUUACCUUGCCACAGUCUUUUCUAUGAAGGACAGAGAGCCAAGGAGUGGACCAACAUGCCUGAG
ensembl:antisense 4933431E20Rik RIKEN cDNA 4933431E20 gene